rnacentral:rRNA from 1 species
UACAGAGGUCUCAAGCGUUGUUCGGAUUCAUUGGGCGUAAAGGGUGUGUAGGUGGCGCCGUAAGUCGGGUGUGAAAUUUCGGAGCUUAACUCCGAAACUGCAUUCGAUACUGCGGUGCUUGAGGACUGGAGAGGAGACUGGAAUUCAUGGUGUAGCAGUGAAAUGCGUAGAUAUCUGGAGGAACACCGGUGGCGAAGGCGGCAUCCUGGACCGGCAUUGACGCUGAGGCGCGAAAGCCAGGGGAGCAAACGGG